UGGAGACGCUCCCCGCGGGCCUCGAGUCCUGCCUCCCGCACUGCGGUCCUGGGGAACCUGGAAAAGGCGCUUUCCCUCCUACGGAUGUCUUUCUUUUGUACACAGUUGGCGUUCUGUUUUGCUCGGAGCAUUUUUGGUAGCACCCCGAGGUUGGGUAACACCCAGGGCUUGGCCAACCCCAUCGUGCUCUUUUCUCCGCUUGUAACAUGUGUGACCACAAAGCCACCGCAGGCAUCACGUGGGUCGCUCAGCGGCUCGGACGCAGACACGCCUCUGGCUUCCCCUGGAGGGCGGGGCUUCGCCUUUACCCUUUCCUGCCGGUCACUGGCCGUCAGGACGAAAGGACUGGAGGAAAGAAGGAACUGCCCACUUCCUUUAAGAAGCUGUGAAGCAAAUGGCUCUUCCACCUUUAAAGUUUUCAGAAGGACUUUAUGCCCACUGUGGAUUGCCUGAAAAAUCCCAUGGACGGGGAAGCCUGGUGGGCUGCAGUCCGUGGGGUCGCUAAGAGUGGGACACGACUGAGAGACUUCACUUUCACUUUUCACUUUCAUUCAUUGGAGGAGGAAAUGGCAGCCCACUCCAGUGUUCUUGCCUGGAGAGUCCCAGGGACAGCGGGGCCUGGUGGGCUGCCGUCUAUGGGGUCGCACAGAGUCGGACACGACUGAAGCGACUUAACAGCAGCAGCAGCAGUGGAAAAACCAAAUACCACAAUACAGUUACAUCUCACGAUUUGUUAAUAUUUUGUUAAGUUUUUCCCUAAACAUCUGCUGCUAAGUCACUUCAGUCGUGUCCAAAACAUCUGCAGCCUUGGAAUAAUGUGAGUUUGGAUGGAGGGUGACGAGGAAUGGGCUGGUAUCCACUUUCCAGGCACCACCUUCGCGUUAGGACUCGGGGACCACAUGGACCCUACAGCUGACGCAGUUUGGAACUCUGGCCCCUACUCACAACAGGAAGGUUUUAAGAUGCUGAGUCGAGGAGUCUUAGCUUCUGGAGGCGACUAUGGAGAGCCUCUGGUUUCCAGUCCCUGCAGGGGCCAAAAGGUCCUCUUUCUCUCCUGCUCCAGAGACCUAGACAUUCCAUCCCACAACAAACACUCUGGCUGUUCUUUAAAUCUCUUCUUACCUUAUCUCUUUUUGGAGCAGCAUCAUUUCUCAAUUACUGUACAUUGUUAUCCUGCAAACAAGCUGGAAUCAAGAUUGCCAGGAGAAAUAUCAAUAACCUCAGAUACGCAGAUGGCAACACCCUAAACAGCAGAAAGUGAAGAGGAGC
ensembl:lncRNA